GCAUGGGGAGGUAAAGAGAUAAGGCCUUCUGUAUCUUCAUCUUCCUCAAGUUCUCUGUUUCAGUUUUUCUGUGGUACAGAAUUUAAGAGAGCUGUGUCUACUUAGCGGCUUGGUGUGCUGGGGCAAAGCCUUCUGCAGCCAGCUCGUUGUGCAUUUUAAAAGUCUACCAGGCAGCUAAACCAGUCAAUCCUGGUUUGCCAACCUCUACCUGCCCCCCAAAAAACUGCCAGCAUGCUGGGGUGGGGAAUAGUUUAAAUUGUAUCAUUGCUAAAAACCAAAAGCAAACAUGGUUGAGAAAGAAGAAAUUGUGAUCCUGUCAGCCGCCAGGAAAAGGAAACCUAAGGCAGAUCAUGGCUGAACAGAUGUAGAAGAGCCUAGACAAUUCAGCCACUGCAGGGUGAGGGCUGCUGGAUCACGGGGGAAGGUACUGGUCUGGCUUCUGAGUACUUGGGACAUGGCUCCCUGAGGAUAACCUCGUGCUGGUCCUGACAAGACCUAGAUUUCCAGAGGACUGGAGUUCAUCUGCAUCCUGUCCUCCAUGGUCAGGGAGUGGCUAAAAACACACAGACAAGUCCAGACACCACUGAGCUGCCUCCCUUCUAGCUGUGCUGGCCCUGGUCAUAUGGUUGACUGAAAACUGCUUGUACUGAGCAAAGGGGAAUUUCCCCUGCUGGCUCAGAAAACUUGCAGAAACUUGGAGGCCCGGCCAAAGAGGAACUUGUGGCCAUUUACUGACCGAAAUCUGCCCCACCCAGAACCAGCUGGCCUUGCUCUGAGACCCUGGGAACUAGGAGCCUUUAAUUUCCAUCCUGGAUGAAUGUUAAUUCCAGAUAGAAGCCAUCCUUAGAUGGGAUGUGUGGUGGGUGGGUGGAUGGCAGAUACAGAAAUGGGAUGACAGGAAGACCAAGAGCAAUCCAGGCAGCAAAAGCUUGUUUUUGUCUCCUUGAGUCAGGACUUCUCAUGACUGGGCAAUCACACUCCAGGAUGUAUCUGGAUCUGGAGACAUGUGGAACCCUCCGGCCAGGUUAUGGAGGAAGAUCCCUGCUCAGCAAGUCUGGCAACUCAACACCCAGCACUAAUUAAGAAAAAGCAACUGAAUUUCCAAACGGGAGCUGCAAUGUUGGCUGAGUGUACGCAGCAGCAGAACCAAUCCCAUCCCUGCCAAGACCCAGGAUUCUGAACUUCAGAAGAAACUAAGUAAUUCUUGCUGUGCGCACAUUCAACCCUGGUCCUAGAUUCGACAUUUAUUUCCAGAAGAGACCUUUAACUUGAAAGGCUGAUUUUAUGAAAAACUGAGCCUUUCUGAAAAGGAUCAACUUCUCAUUUCGAUCAUGAAGGUCAGCAUCGAUAGUGUCCCAGGAGACAGCAGCAACAGGGUAAAGCAAAUGUCUUGAGGCAAGAUCCUGCAUCCGGGAGCAGGGACCAGCUUCUCUUCAGAAAGGAGCUGUGCACCUGAAAAAUGGAGCCUGAAAACAGAUUUUUCAGGGACAUUAAUGACCUCACAUGGAGAAUUUGAAUUCUCAUGGCAAUGUCUUCCACUCAGGCAGAGGUCAAAGAAGCUUUGAGGAAGCAAGGAGGUUGAGAGCAGAGUUGCACCAGGCCGUUCAGAAAGCACAUCUUGAAGAGAUCUCCUGGCUCUAGAGGAAGUAAGGCAUGGAACCAGAGAUAACCUGGGAACUUGGGAACUUGCUGGUGUUUCAGUCCUCAGAGAGCUGAAGGAAAUAUCUGGGUACCCAGAUGUGGUGGUGGACCCACUGGACUUCCCAAUGCAUGCACCCUGAUUGCAAUUGAUAGCAUAUCAACAUGGAAUCUUCGUAAUUUUUAAUAAAUAUAUUGGCUCAUUUAUUCACUCAUC